rnacentral:rRNA from 1 species
CCUACGGGUGGCAGCAGUGAGGAAUAUUGGUCAAUGGCCGAGAGUCUGAACCAGCCAAGUAGCGUGAAGGAAGACUGCCCUAUGGGUUGUAAACCUCUUUUGUAUGGGAAUAAAGCAAGGUAUGCAUACCUCCUUGUGUGUACCCGAAGAAUAAGGAUCGGCUAACUCCGUGCCAGCAGCCGCGGUAAUACGGAGGAUUCGAGCGUUAUCCGGAUUUAUUGGGUUUAAAGGGUGCGUAGGCGGAUUGUUAAGUCAGUUGGGAAAGUUUGCGGCUCAACCGUAUAAUUGCAGUUGAAACUGGCAGUCGUGAGUACAGUAGAGGUGUGCGGAAUGCGUGGUGUAGCGGUGAAAUGCUUAGAUAUCACGAAGAACUCCGAUUGCGAAGGCAGCUCACUGGACUGCAACUGACACUGAUGCACGAAAGUGUGGGUAUCAAACAGGAUUAGAUACCCUGGUAGUC